rnacentral:piRNA from 1 species
UGCCAGAUUAACUUGUGGGUUAUCUUCUGC